AUAGGAAUCGUGUACAUUUCUUCGUUUCUUCUUUGCUGUUUUCAGUGAGUGUUUUGUUUUCUCUUUGUCCUUGAUCUCGACGGCGUUGUCGUGCUCAUUACCUUACUGAGACGUCUCUUGUGACUGUAGGCAGUGUCACGGAGGAUUUUAUUGGCGUGACGAGGUAGAUCGCCGAGAUCGAGCGUGAAAAACGCUCUGCAUUAGUAGCUCCUGUAGAAUGUCUUCUGGGAUGGCGUAUCCAUGGUCAACAAAGCCAAGGUGCAAGACUGCAUAAGAGAUCGUGUAAACGAUGUGAACUCCAAAAGGUAAGCUCCUGAACAAGUGGAAAGAUAUGUGUAUUUACAAACUCUCUCUUCAUCCAUCGAUUGCCGCUAUGCAUUGCAUUUUGUCUUCACAGAUAAUCUGGACAAAUAAAUUAUAUUGUAACUGGAGAGUGCAAUCGUGCUUGGGACCCAUCCCAAUGUCAUCACAUGGCUGUGGUGACUAGUGCAUACCUGGGAGAAUUUUUCCUCAACUGAGACGGAGUGUAGAUGGAUGGAUUAUGAGAAAUGCGAAGAUGUGGAGUUCAAGGCUAGAUGCACUUCACAUUCGGCGUGGGAUCUCGGCGUCUCGGACCUGAUAACGUCUUGGUUGGAUGGGUGAUCAAGGAUGAUACUACUCGGCACACCAAUGUACAUGUCAAUGUAGUUUUUACUUUUUCAGAGCUGCACUAUUUACGUCUUGAUGCUUACUUCGGUGCUAGUGUCGUGUCCGUGUGUUGCUACAAUGUCAUUAUCUGUAUUGUAUUCCGUCUGCUUAUACAUGUGUCUUUAUGAAGUGUUUGCCAUGGCGGCGAUGUGUCUUGUCGAUCAAUAGUGUUGUGAAACCUAUCCCUAUUCAUGCUUUGCUGGCUACUUGCUCGCUCCGCGCCGUGCACGCUACUAGGUCUUGUAGUAUAUAGCUCGAUGCUUUGCAUCGAUCGCUGGUUGUUGUUGUUCUUGUUGCUUCUCUGUUGUUUGAGCUUGGUCCUAGAGUGAAGCUUUGGUCUUCUUGUGUGGUGAGGGUGAGGAAUGGGUAUCUGGACUCCUGGUAUAUUUCCGUAAAGAACCUGGAAUUGUAGAAUCCUGAGAGUAUGUCUGGCCCACUCCCCGGUCAUGACAUUAGCGUGUUUCCCCCGGAUUAUUUCUAUCAUCCUGCGUGUUCUUGGGCUGAGCGAGCACAUGCACGAGUGUGCAGCUAUAACCCUGUG